ACGCUCGACACCUACGGGGGCAGCAGUGGGGAAUAUUGCACAAUGGGGGAAACCCUGAUGCAGCGACGCCGCGUGAGCGAAGAAGUAUUUCGGUAUGUAAAGCUCUAUCAGCAGGGAAGAAACUGACGGUACCUGACUAAGAAGCACCGGCUAAAUACGUACNCGCAGCCGCGGUAAUCUGAGCGGGCUGGCAAGGC
rnacentral:rRNA from 1 species